CUAACUAUGGGUUCCUUUUAUUGUCUUGCUUUAAACCCAGUGAAUAUUAAUCAGCGACGUUCAAUCAAAAUGGCUAGAGAAGGAAGGGGAAACAUGGCCUUGGGAGAAGAUGAAGAGUACCAUGCUGUGACUGGAAAAGGGCUAAAUGAUUAAUUUUGCUUUCGACAUCGGCUGUGAAAGUCUGCUUGGAAACCCCCCUGUGUAGAAUGGGUAGAACAAGGAGAACAAGAAGUGCCUGGUUUGCGUCAGGAGGAACAGGCUGUGCUGCUUCCACCCCCACCGCUCUCCUCAGCCUCCCACAGCACCAGCUACCCAGUCACUAACAGAAAAGUCAUUAAACUUUAGCAUGUGAGUAUGCCAAGAUCCAAUAGUUAUCCCCAGAUAAUGAGCAAGCUUAGACGAAAUGGUACCCUUUCUGGUUCCUGUCCUUU
rnacentral:lncRNA from 1 species